rnacentral:rRNA from 1 species
CCUACGGGAGGCAGCAGUGGGGAAUUUUCCGCAAUGGGCGCAAGCCUGACGGAGCAAUACCGCGUGAGGGAGGAAGGCUCUUGGGUCGUAAACCUCUUUUAUCAGGGAAGAACGCAAUGACGGUACCUGAUGAAUCAGCAUCGGCUAACUCCGUGCCAGCAGCCGCGGUAAUACGGAGGAUGCAAGCGUUAUCCGGAAUUAUUGGGCGUAAAGCGUCCGCAGGUGGUUGUGAAAGUUUGCUGUCAAAGCGCGAGGCUCAACUUCGUACCGGCGGUGAAAACUUCACGACUAGAGCUAGGUAGGGGUCACGGGAAUUCCCAGUGUAGCGGUGAAAUGCGUAGAUAUUGGGAAGAACACCAGCGGCGAAAGCGCGUGACUGGGCCUGAGCUGACACUCAUGGACGAAAGCUAGGGGAGCGAAAGGGAUUAGAUACCCCUGUAGUCCUAGCCGUAAACGAUGACACUAGGUGUUGCCCGUAUCGACCCGGGCAGUGCCGUAGCCAACGCGUUAAGUUGUCCGCCUGGGGAGUACGCGACGCGAGUGUGAACGUACGAAGGAAGUUAAGUACGGCGUUGAGUACGUUGCCGAACGGCGACCGACGAGGGAGGUUAGG